GACGAACGCUGGCGGCGUGCCUAAUACAUGCAAGUAGAACGCACAGUUUAUACCGUAGCUUGCUACACCAUAGACUGUGAGUUGCGAACGGGUGAGUAACGCGUAGGUAACCUGCCUGGUAGCGGGGGAUAACUAUUGGAAACGAUAGCUAAUACCGCAUAAUAUUAAUUAUUGCAUGAUAAUUAAUUGAAAGGUGCAAUUGCACCACUACCAGAUGGACCUGCGUUGUAUUAGCUAGUAGGUGAGGUAACGGCUCACCUAGGCGACGAUACAUAGCCGACCUGAGAGGGUGAUCGGCCACACUGGGACUGAGACACGGCCCAGACUCCUACGGGAGGCAGCAGUAGGGAAGCUUCGGCAAUGGACGAAAGUCUGACCGAGCAACGCCGCGUGAGUGAAGAAGGUUUUCGGAUCGUAAAGCUCUGUUGUAAGAGAAGAACGGGUGUGAGAGUGGAAAGUUCACACUGUGACGGUAUCUGACCAGAAAGGGACGGCUAACUACGUG
rnacentral:rRNA from 1 species